GCCCUCGUAGCUCAGCGGAUAGAGCACUUGCUUGCGGAGCAAGGGGUCGAGCGUUCAAAUCGCUCCGAGGGCG
rnacentral:tRNA from 1 species